rnacentral:tRNA from 1 species
UAUUAGAUAGAUCUGUUUCAAGGAUUAGUACUUUUUGGAUAAAUGUUUUUUUAACUUUUUUAAAGACAAUGGUGCCAAUCUGUUGCUGAUUU